rnacentral:tRNA from 1 species
GCCUGGGUGGCUCAGUCGGUUAAGCAUCUGACUUUGGCUCAGGUCAUGAUCUCACGGUUUGUGAGUUCGAGCCCCACGUCAGGCU